GUUGGGUAUGGAGACAUGAGGCCAGUGACUGUUGGGGGUAAAAUCGUGGGGUCCUUGUGUGCCAUUGCUGGUGUGCUCACCAUUGCUUUGCCAGUCCCUGUCAUUGUCUCUAAC
rfam:Xenopus tropicalis strain Nigerian Chr03_contig_501, whole genome shotgun sequence.